AAACGACUCUCGGCAACGGAUAUCUCGGCUCUCGCAUCGAUGAAGAACGUAGCGAAAUGCGAUACUUGGUGUGAAUUGCAGAAUCCCGUGAACCAUCGAGUCUUUGAACGCAAGUUGCGCCCGAAGCCAUCCGGCCGAGGGCACGUCUGCCUGGGUGUCACGC
rnacentral:rRNA from 1 species